rnacentral:rRNA from 1 species
CAAUAGCGUAUAUUAAAGUUGUUGCAGUUAAAAAGCUCGUAGUUGGAUUUCGGAAUGGGCCCGUCGGUCCGCCGCAAGGUGAGUCACUGAAUGGUUUGUUCUUCUUCGCAAAGACUGCGUGUGCUCUUCGCUGAGUGUGCGUAGGAUUUACGACGUUUACUUUGAAAAAAUUAGAGUGUUCAAAGCAGGCUUUAGCUUGAAUACAUGAGCAUGGAAUAAUGGAAUAGGACUUUGGUUCUAUUUUGUUGGUUUCUAGGACCGAAGUAAUGAUUAAGAGGGACAAUUGGGGGCAUCCGUAUUUCGUUGUCAGAGGUGAAAUUCUUGGAUUUACGAAAGACGAACAACUGCGAAAGCACUUGCCAAGAGUGUUUUCAUUAA